GACGAACGCUGGCGGCGUGCUUAACACAUGCAAGUCGAACGAAGUGGCGAACGGGUGAGUAAUACGUGGGUAACCUGCCCUCCUUUUUGGGAUAAGCCUUGGAAACGGGGUCUAAUACCGAAUAGAGGGGGAUGGGCCCGCGGCCUAUCAGCUUGUUGGUGGGGUAAUGGCCUACCAAGGCGGCGACGGGUAGCCGGCCUGAGAGGGUGGACGGCCACAUUGGGACUGAGACACGGCCAAGAGUGCUACGGGAGGCAGCAGUGGGGAAUAGUGCACAAUAGGCGGAAGCUGGAUGCAGGGACGCCGCGGGGGGGAUGACGGCCUUCGGGUUGUAAACUCCUUUCACCAUCGACGCGGUAGAUGAAGAAGAAGCACCGGCUAACUACGUGCCAGCAGCCGCGGUAAUAC
rnacentral:rRNA from 1 species